GCAUCAGCUAUAUACAACUUCCUGGAAAGAAAGUGAUAAAGAAAAAGGGAAAGAAAAUAUCGAUACUCUUGAAAGAAUACCUAAUAUUCAUCAAAUGCAAAGCAACAAUAUAUCACAGAAAAAAGUAUGGGUAAAUCACAUAAUAGGUGUUAAAAUCGCAAGUUGACUCACACGACUUUAUGAUUUUGCAACUUCAAAUCUCUAAAAUGAGUCAAAACAUAUGUAAAAUUAGAAUCAAGUAAAAUCGAGAUAAAAUCUUAUUUUUAAAUAAUGAAAUCGGAUUUGAAAUAACAUGAUUUAACGAGUUUACAACUCUACGAUCUUAUAUAUUUGAAAUUUUAAAAAUUAAAUAUUACCUUUUAGUUUAUCAAAAUCAUUAUAAUUUUUUUAUUUACCAUAAAGUCUAGAUUUUUUAAGUAUUUAAAUAUAACAGUAAUUAUUAUUUAUGCGGCUACAAUUAUCAAGCAGAUAUAUUGUAAUUUUUAUAUCAUUUUUAAGCAACUUUUGUUAUACUGUUGUUCACAUAAAUAUGAUCUGAUUUCCAUAAGUUAUUCAUAAGAUAUUUAUAUUAUUUUUAUUUACAUAUUUUCAAAGUUAGAAACUUGAAAUUAUGUUAUCAAAUAUGAAGUUUAAAUAUACAAGUGUGCACGCGCG
rnacentral:misc_RNA from 1 species